rnacentral:rRNA from 1 species
UACGGAAGGGGCAAGCGUUGUUCGGAAUCAUUGGGCGUAAAGGGCGCGUAGGCGGUCUCGUGUGUCUGCUGUGAAAGUACACAGCUUAACUGUGUGAAGUCGGUAGAAACUGCGAGACUUGAGGCUGGGAGAGGUUGGUGGAAUUCCCUGUGUAGCGGUGAAAUGCGUAGAUAUAGGGGAGAACACUCGUGGCGAAGGCGGCCAGCUGGACCAGCCCUGACGCUGAGGCGCGACAGCGUGGGGAGCAAACAGG